rnacentral:rRNA from 1 species
UACGUAGGCAGCAAGCGUUGUUCGGAGUUAUUGGGCGUAAAGGGCGCGUAGGCGGCGGGGUAAGUCGGGUGUGAAAUCUCAGGGCUCAACCCUGAAACUGCACUUGAUACUGCUCUGCUUGAGGACUGGAGAGGAGACUGGAAUUCACGGUGUAGCAGUGAAAUGCGUAGAUAUCGUGAGGAAGACCAGUGGCGAAGGCGGGUCUCUGGACAGUUCCUGACGCUGAGGCGCGAAGGCCAGGGGAGCAAACGGG